rnacentral:rRNA from 1 species
GAUGAACGCUGGCGGCGUGCCUAAUACAUGCAAGUCGAGCGAACAGACGAGGAGCUUGCUCCUCUGACGUUAGCGGCGGACGGGUGAGUAACACGUGGAUAACCUACCUAUAAGACUGGGAUAACUUCGGGAAACCGGAGCUAAUACCGGAUAAUAUAUUGAACCGCAUGGUUCAAUAGUGAGAGACGGUUUUGCUGUCACUUAUAGAUGGAUCCGCGCCGCAUUAGCUAGUUGGUAAGGUAACGGCUUACCAAGGCAACGAUGCGUAGCCGACCUGAGAGGGUGAUCGGCCACACUGGAACUGAGACACGGUCCAGACUCCUACGGGAGGCAGCAGUAGGGAAUCUUCCGCAAUGGGCGAAAGCCUGACGGAGCAACGCCGCGUGAGUGAUGAAGGUCUUCGGAUCGUAAAACUCUGUUAUUAGGGAAGAACAAAUGUGUAAGUAACGAUGCACGUCUUGACGGUACCUAAUCAGAAAGCCACGGCUAACUACGU